rnacentral:rRNA from 1 species
UGGGGAAUCUUCCGCAAUGGACGAAAGUCUGACGGAGCAACGCCGCGUGAGUGAAGAAGGCCUUCGGGUUGUAAAGCUCUGUUAUUCGGGAAGAACGAUUCGUUUGUGAACAAUGAACGGAAGUGACGGUACCGAAAGAGAAAGCCACGGCUAACUACGUGCCAGCAGCCGCGGUAAUACGUAGGUGGCAAGCGUUGUCCGGAAUUAUUGGGCGUAAGAGCGCGUAGGCGGUAUGAUAAGUCUGUCUUAGAAGUGCGGGGCUUAACCCCGUGAGGGGACAGAGACUGUCAUACUAGAGUCUCGGAGAGGAAAGCGGAAUUCCUAGUGUAGCGGUGAAAUGCGUAGAGAUUAGGAAGAACACCGGUGGCGAAGGCGGCUUUCUGGACGAGCACUGACGCUGAGGCGCGAAAGCGUGGGGAGCGAACAGG